GGAGCGGAAAUCAAGUGAUGUCGCUGUCGAAUCUCGAUGGGUGCCCGUGGCGGCGGCAGCCGGUGCCACUGCCGACGCGCGCGGUGGACUCCUCGGAGGAGUCGAGCUCUACGUCAUCGUCCGACCCAGAGUCGGUGGUGGACGAGCCCAUCUUCCGCAUGACCCUCACAGGUUUGAGGCCCUCGGUGAAGAUCCUGAUGGCCUCCUCCGUCGUCUUGGUGCUCAGCAGGUUCAGAGAAUGUUUUCAGUGGAGUUGAUUGACCCAGCAGUGAAAGGAACACUGAAUGUUCUGGCCUCCUACAAGAAAGCUUCUUAGUUGACCUUGCUACUGAAUCCGAUACAGGAUACGCCCGUACGAAGAUGAUGCGUGGAAUGCUGAUGUUGCCCCUUUGGCUACCUCGAUGUUGCCCAGAGUGGAUAGGAGGAAGAUAGUUCAUCGUCAUGACCGAGUCCACACGUGUCUUUGGUAGAGUCAGGAAAAAAUAUUUGCUCAGUGAAAUUUACUUCGGAUGAUUAUGUGUUUUCUAGUGUGCUUUGCCGUGAACAAAGAUUAUGUGUUUUUUAAAAAAUUUAUGAUAUAUCUUGGAACCUUUUAUGCUCAUAUCCUACUCCUUUGUCUACUAUUUGUUCAUUGGUAGUACAGGUUGCAGAUAAGCCUCGGCAAAACUGUAUUGCACAGGUUCCUUUAGUUCAGUUCAAAUUUAUACCCAAAUAUCAGUGUCCUGUAUAUUCUUCACUUGAGUGAACAAAGCAGGAGAAGUGUUCCUGCAGCUAGCAAGAAUAAUAAAAGUGCGGCUCGGUUGACCACGUGCGGCAAGACCAACACGGGCGGAGCUGCUUCCCGUUGGUGACGAUAGGGGAGGUCCACAGACGCUGAGGUGCAGGGGCCUAG